UGAUUGUUUGCACUACUGUGUUGUCGUUCCUUUGUCCCAAGAGCAUGCGUGAGACCCCACAGUGUGAAAAGCUAAAAAA
rnacentral:lncRNA from 1 species